rnacentral:rRNA from 1 species
UCAGGUCAAGCUGGGGACUCUAAUGAAACUGCCUACGCAAGUAGUGAGGAAGGUGGGGAUGACGUCAAAUCAGCACGGCCCUUACGUCCGGGGCGACACACGUGUUACAAUGGGUGGUACAAAGGGCAGCUACCUGGCGACAGGAUGCUAAUCUCGAAAACCGCUCUCAGUUCGGAUCGGAGUCUGCAACUCGACUCCGUGAAGCUGGAUUCGCUAGUAAUCGCGCAUCAGCCACGGCGCGGUGAAUACGUUCCCGGGCCUU